AAGACCUUGCACUUUUGGAGCGGCCGAUGUCUGAUUAGCUAGUUGGUGGGGUAAUGGCCUACCAAAGCUUCGAUCAGUAGCUGGCCUGAGAGGACGGCCAGCCACACUGGGACUGAGACACGGCCCAGACUCCUACGGGAGGCAGCAGUGGGGAAUUUUGGACAAUGGGCGCAAGCCUGAUCCAGCCAUGCCGCGUGAAUGAAGAAGGCCUUCGGGUUGUAAAGCUCUUUCAGCCGGGAAGAAAAGGUUGCGACUAAUAAUCGCAAUUCAUGACGGUACCGAAAGAAGAAGCACCGGCUAACUACGUGCCAGCAGCCGCGGUAAUACGUAGGGUGCGAGCGUUAAUCGGAAUUACUGGGCGUAAAGGGUGCGCAGGCGGUUCUGUAAGUCAGAUGUGAAAUCCCCGGGCUUAACCUGGGAACU
rnacentral:rRNA from 1 species